rnacentral:rRNA from 1 species
AUCACUAAGCGGAGAAAAAGAAAAUAACUAUGAUUCCUACAGUAACGGCGAGUGAAGUAGGAAAAGCCCAUAGCCGAAUUCCGCUGUCCUCGACGGCAGCUGGAAGUUGUGGCGUUAGGGCCUGCCUAUUGUAACCGAUCGACCGGGCUACGCGACUCCUCUUGAUUGUGGUUUGCCCAUAGCAGGUGAAAGGCCUAUAGGUCGUAGCCUCGUGUUGUUAGGUCGGCGGUGACGGCAGUCCUUAGAGUCGGGUUGUUUGGGAUUGCAGCCCGAAGCAGGUGGUAAACUCCACCUAAGGCUAAAUAUUGUCGCGAGUCCGAUAGCGCACAAGUACCGUGAGGGACAGUUGAAAAGAACUUUGAAGAGAGAGUUCAAAGUACGUGAAACCGUUCAGAGGCAAGCGGGUAGAAAGUCGAAUUAGAAGCCGACAAUCAAGCUGCAGCUAGUCUCUGCGGGUUGGUAGCACGUUAAAGGCUACCAGUUUGUAGUUUGAUGGCUAGUUGUGGUUGUACUUGUCGGUUUUGGAUCGCCGCAACGGCAGUGACACUGACCGGUUGGCGUCUGUUCCUCUGGUCGAUGUAGAUUCAUUUGAGUCUUUUAACGUCGGCAAACGGAUGGGCGUCCCGCGUACUUGGCACAGUCGUAAGUAUACCAGCAGUUUAUGCGUUCCGUCUGGUUGUCGUUCGUUGUGUAUCGGUGGUCCAAACUUAAACAAGUUUGCCUGCUGACAUCACGGCGGCGGCAGCUGGUCUAACGACGGAACAAAAGCUGUGGCGGCGUUUGACAACGAAUUAUCUACCUGACCCGUCUUGAAACACGGACCAAGGAGUCUAACCUGUACGCGAGCUAUUAGGAAUUUGAUACCUAAAGGCGUAGUGAAAGCAAAAAUGGUGAGAUCUGUCGUUUAUUUGGCAACAAAUAACGGCGGCGCAUCAUCGUCACGCCUCAUAUCGGCUUCGGCUGUAGUGGCGCA